AGCGAACGCUGGCGGCAGGCUUAACACAUGCAAGUCGAGCGGGCAUCUUCGGAUGUCAGCGGCAGACGGGUGAGUAACACGUGGGAACGUACCCUUCGGUUCGGAACAACUCUGGGAAACUGGAGCUAAUACCGGAUACGCCCCUAUGGGGAAAGGUUUACUGCCGAAGGAUCGGCCCGCGUCUGAUUAGCUAGUGGGUGGGGUAACGGCCUACCAAGGCGACGAGCAGUAGCUGGUCUGAGAGGCUGAUCAGCCACACUGGGACUGAGACACGGCCCAGACUCCUACGGGAGGCAGCAGUGGGGAAUAUUGGACAAUGGGCGCAAGCCUGAUCCAGCCAUGCCGCGUGAGUGAUGAAGGCCUUAGGGUUGUAAAGCUCUUUUGUCCGGGACGAUAAUGACGGUACCGGAAGAAUAAGCCCCGGCUAACUUCGUG
rnacentral:rRNA from 1 species